ensembl:lncRNA
UGACGACAUAUUGGCGUGAUGACAUGAUGACAUGUUGGCACGAUGGCAUAUUGGCGUGAUGACAUGAUGACAUGAUGAUAUAUUGGCGUGAUGACAUGAUGACAUGUUGGCGUGAUGACAUGUUGGCAGGUGGAACACCCUCAGUCACUCAGGGACAUUUAAAGUAAAAUAAAAACGUUUCAGAGGAUAAAAAAAAAUAAUAAUAUCAUGAGAAUAAUAUGUGCAAAUACAUUAAUUGAUUGAUAAUUUUCAGUGACCUCAAUUUUAUUUUCAUUCAUUUUAUUAUCAACUCUUUCAACUGAGUAAUUAAAAGUUUAGUCAAAACAUUUCACAAGUCUUAAAAUAGCUUUUGUGACUCAAAUCAUCACGUUUAGAACCAGCAAAUGUUUUAAAACUCGCUUCAACAAUAAAAACAAAACAGCAACAAUGUGUCUUUAACUAAGCGACCGUCUUUGUUUGUCGCCUUUGAAACGUGAAUAAAGUAGCUGGACGGGUUGGCGGUGUUUCAGCUCACCUCGGUGCCGCCGUCAGUCAGACUGUCGCUGCUCUGCGAGAGUUCACUGCUGAGCGACAAACUGUCCUGUGAAGUCCACACGUAUUCUUUCACAAAAUAGAACAUUCUAAUACAUCCAGAACGUUCUGUAUUCAGUGAACCGGCGGCUGAUCCCAGUUCUCAAUGGAGACGCUCACCUGCGCUCGGGGGAGUGGAUCAGCGGACUUCUUGAACAGCCCACCGAACAACGCCGCUUUUUGCUGAAAGUUAAAAAACAAAAACAAAAAAAAAAAGGCAAAAAGGAAAAUGAGGCUCGCGAAAACAAACGGAUGCGUCGGGAAGACUCGAGAGGAGCAGGAGGCGGUUCUGUGGAGUAACGGGUCGAGCGUGAGGCGCUGCCACGGCCGGUGAGUCAGCGGCGUAAAUCUGUCUCGGAGGAGCGGGAGGACAGGCGGAGCACGUUCCACGUCACAGGUGAAAGGUCACUUGUCUGUUAUUCCAUCUAAAAUAGCCUUUGCAAAGAAUAAAGCCUCAGGCUUCAAUAAUAUACAAGAACGGAUUACUGUAAGAUACUGUAAAUCCGUACAACGGAACUGAAUAAUAUUGUACUGCUUAUAGGAAAAACAAAGACCGGUAAUUACGUUUUCAAACAAUGGCCGUUCCCCAAAACAAACGAGACAAGUCUCCAAACUUAUAGUGUGUGUAAAGUACCCAAACAAAUCUACAGACCGAAUCCACAAAGUAAAAUUCCCUUAAAAACCUCCCUUGAGGAUUGUCAAACUAAACGAAAUAUGCCUGAAACAGCACACCUCCCUUUAUUAUUUGUUAUCAACAAAUCCCAUCCAGAAAAUAAAAACAAAAGAAUCCUACUAAGAAUGAGUCAUUUCAGAAUAAUAUCAUAUUAUUGAAUUGUAGAUGCAGUAAAUACUUUACAUACCUGCUGCUAAGCUUAAUCUAUUUAAAUGUAUUAAAAUUUAUGAAAAAUAUGAAGGAAAAAAAAAUACAAUAUGGGCUUCCAAAUUGUGGCGGGGUAGAAGUAUGAAGUAGAACAAUAUGCAAACACUCAAUUAAUUUAAGUCCAAAUUGUGAUUAAAGAGUAAGUUGAAUGUAGUUAGUUGCAUCUGACCACUAGGGUCCGUUUAGUUUAGUUGAUGUGAAGGUCACGCCGACCUGGAACGUGGAGUUCAGCUGUAAUGAGUUCAGCUGUAAUAUCACACGUCUAUAAAUAAACAGAUGCCGUGAAACGAACAACAAACGUCAGCCGGCUGAACCUUUUACAACUUAAAGGUUACUCACAGCGACGCCUCCGUCCUCGCAGUCCAGGUCCAGGUCCGCGUAUCGAUCCUGUC